rnacentral:rRNA from 1 species
UACGAAGGGUGCAAGCGUUACUCGGAAUUACUGGGCGUAAAGCGUGCGUAGGUGGUUCGUUAAGUCUGAUGUGAAAGCCCUGGGCUCAACCUGGGAAUGGCAUUGGAUACUGGCGACCUAGAGUGCGGUAGAGGGGUGUGGGAUUCCCGGUGUAGCAGUGAAAUGCGUAGAUAUCGGGAGGAACAUCUGUGGCGAAGGCGACACCCUGGACCAGCACUGACACUGAGGCACGAAAGCGUGGGGAGCAAACAGG